rnacentral:rRNA from 1 species
GACGAACGCUGGCGGCGUGCUUAACACAUGCAAGUCGAACGAUGAUGCUCCAGCUUGCUGGGGUGGAUUAGUGGCGAACGGGUGAGUAACACGUGAGUAACCUGCCCCCUUCUUCGGGAUAAGCUUGGGAAACUGGGUCUAAUACUGGAUAUUCUGCAAUUGUCGCAUGGAGGUUGUGGGAAAGAUUUUUUGGUGGGGGAUGGGCUCGCGGCCUAUCAGCUUGUUGGUGGGGUGAUGGCCUACCAAGGCGUCGACGGGUAGCCGGCCUGAGAGGGUGACCGGCCACACUGGGACUGAGAUACGGCCCAGACUCCUACGGGAGGCAGCAGUGGGGAAUAUUGCACAAUGGGCGCAAGCUUGAUGCAGCGACGCCGCGUGAGGGAUGACGGCUUUCGGGUUGUAAACCUCUUUCGAUGGGGAACAAGGCCAUAUUUUUGUGUGGUUGAGGGUACCUGUAUAAGAAGCGCCGGCUAACUACGUG